rnacentral:rRNA from 1 species
CAGUAGCCGCGGUAAUACGGAGGGGGCUAGCGUUGUUCGGAAUUACUGGGCGUAAAGCGCACGUAGGCGGCUUGGUAAGUUAGAGGUGAAAGCCCGGAGCUCAACUCCGGAAUUGCCUUUAAGACUGCCGAGCUAGUAGGUGAGAGAGGUAAGUGGAAUUCCGAGUGUAGAGGUGAAAUUCGUAGAUAUUGGGAAGAACACCGGUGGCGAAGGCGGCAACCUGGUCCUUGACUGACGCUGAGGCGCGAAAGCGUGGGGAGCAAACAGGAUUAGAUACCCCAGUAGUCCCUGUCUCUUAUAC